UCUUGAAACGAAUGAAAUGAUCAUGCUAAAAAAAACUAAUCAAUAGUCAUUGCCGUAAAUUACUGCAGGAAGUGCUAAAAAAACACAAAUGCCUGAAAGAAGACCGAUUGCUACCUCAGGCAUGUCGGGCUCGGAAAACGACAAGGAGGCCGCCGAGGAAAUGUCAGCAUAGGCUAUGCAGCAAGGAAAAGGAUUAUUUGGAAGCAUGGUGUGCCACAGGCAUAGACACUGAAAGGUGGACCACACCAAGGAGAAACAACCCGAGGGAUGAACAAAAGAAAUCACACACGGAUUUACACAAAGCACAAUGGGACCAUCUACAAACAUAAGCCAAGAGCAAAGGAGGAGCCAACGUGUUAAAGAAAAUUGUUGCUCGGAUGGAACUUCUAACCCUGAACUUUUUGUUUGCGUUGUCAACUAACUUGUUUGUUCGUAAACAAACCCAUGUUGAACGCUCCCCCUCUCACCCCCCCUUCCUUGUGCUACACUUCGUUCAAUUUCUCAUAUCCCCUCGUCGUAAUGUAGUGAUUUAUAUACAUAAACGUUUGUUUUUCAUUAACCAAUUUUGAUUUUUUUGUUACUCUUCCAUUACCCAGUAACUACCGUGCUCGAUUAAGAUUGCCCGUUUGAAAUUGACAUUGUUAUUCAUUUUGCGUUUCGCUGAUGGAUGGUGUGAAUUUUAACAGCAAUGCGGAAAAUGCAACUUCAGUUCUUUUUACGAAAACAUUAAGAUUUCUGAUGCAACGUUACUGAUGUGUGAUGGUGAUGUGUUUUUAUGCCCACAGUCAUUUCAAAAUUGAAUUAAAAUGCAUAAUCGCAAUUAGUAACCCCCUCCUUUGCAGAACUAUGUGCAUGUUAAAACCAUCAACAACCAUAAAUACACCAUUCUUUCAAUACGGCUCGGCUUCCUUUGCAAAAAAACCUUCACGUGGUAUGUUUUUAAAAUCAUAAUGUAUUGCUACAAAGACAUUUUUGCAGAGUCCCAGGAGAGAAGGCCGUGGACAAAAACCUUAGUAUGUCUAAUAAUACUCUUGUUGUUUUGAGAGUUCCAGUUUCUUAAAGAUCUAUUCGGGAUUUCGGAGAAAAGGAAGGAAAAAUGCUCCAACAGCCAUCGUUUUUUUGUAAUUGUGAAAUUGGCUUGAAAAAUUCCCCAAAUGAAUUGUUCACCUUUAAUAUGCCCAAAGAUUGCCUGUAAUUAGACAUGUACCCGGACUGCUUUUCAGUUUAUUUUUCAAAGUCCCUUUUUAGUAUCUAUACCUAUAUCAAUCAAUCUAUAGAUAGCUUUUCCUGUAGGUACAGUUUAUUGUGCAUGCACACGUAUCUUCUUGUGCUGCAAUUGCUGCCCUUUGUAAUUAACCAUAGUAGUAGGGUCAGUUCCAUUUAAGUGAAUAUUUAUGUUAACUGAAUAGAAAUUGGGGAAGCUCGUUUUCUGGCUAAGUCUGUUUUCUUAAAAAAAAGUUAAAUGAAUUCCUUUAUUUCAAACAGAGUUUGCAUUGUGAGUAUUCUGAAAGUAAGAAAAAUAAAACAAAAACGGCGUAAAUGUUUCCUAUCUUAUAAACCUGUUGCUGCCAAACAUGGAGGAAAAUUAUUGCAUUUGAACAUGGAUUUUAAUAUGGAUUUCUGCUGUGUAAAUAAAUUGCCCCAUGUAAACCAAA